UACAGAGGUCUCAAGCGUUGUUCGGAUUCAUUGGGCGUAAAGGGUGCGUAGGCUGUGAGGUAAGUCUGGUGUGAAAUCCCGGGGCUCAACCCCGGAACUGCACUGGAUACUGCUUUACUAGAGCACUGGAGAGGGAACUGGAAUUUACGGUGUAGCAGUGAAAUGCGCAGAUAUCAGGAGGAACACCGGUGGCGAAGGCGGGUCUCUGGGCCGUAACUGACGCUGAGGAGCGAAAGCGUGGGGAGCGAACAGG
rnacentral:rRNA from 1 species